CACACGUGUGGCGUGGCAAUCUUGUUAUUGAGAUUUGCAAGUGAAAAACAACCGCCUUUCUUUGUAAUGGACAGAGAUUUUCAGACGAGAAAUUCCAGGCUGAUUCUUGAAAGUCAUGAUAUUGCAACACGUGUCUAUUCAAACCCUUUAUAAGUUCAUUCCUAUGAUAAACAAGAAGUAGUUUUUGUACCUGUGUGUCACAUCAUCUCUCCAAUCAAUACCAUCAAAGUCGUUCUUCUCAAUGUUGUCUAUGAAAUGUACGACCUCCUUGUUCUUCAUUGCAUUCCAUAGACCAUCUGAAGCCAGCACCACAAACCUGUCUUUUCUUGGAUCAAUAAGCCUGUAGUGCACAUCAGGAACUGGUGAAACAAGAUACUCUCCUGCUAAGGGAUUGAAACUCCACAAAUCACCUGAAAGAAAAACGUAAACGUCUAUAGCGCCAACACACCCAUUAUUUACAACUCUCCAAAUCACCCCCCAAUAUGUGUUCACCUUUACCCAAUUUUGACUUGUAUUUUUAACAAUUUGUCUAAAAAUUUGAGUUCACAAAUUUUUUGAUUGUUUAAACUUAACAAUGCUUGAUAUUAUUAUGAUGAUAAAAUUUCAAAGCCACCAUCAUUUGAGGUGUAAAAUUUAAAAACUGCCAAUAAAAGUAUUUUAGGAUCAUUUCAUUCAGUAUUUGAUUCAUUAAUGUAUCUUAUAUCCACCAAUAAUUGAUUUAGAAAAUCUCCAGAUAUUUUGCAAAAUUGUAAUUGUUUAAUAAAUAUAUAAAUAUAUUCAAGUAUCUCCAGAUUUUAGUUAAUGUAUAAAUGUCGUCUGGUGUGCCACUGAUAAAUUAAAGACUAACAUAAAAAAAACAAAAAUAUAAAGUCUCAAAUAAGACUUUAAAGUACAUACAAGUAAGAAAUAAAUUUCAAAAUAAAUCAUUCUUAACCAUUUGUCCCUACCAAGUGAUCUUGCAAUGGCCAAGAAGGGUAUGUUUUCCAUUUUUGUGCUACGUAGAACUGGUCCUUGAUGUCGACCUAUCUGGCAGACCCUGUUCCACGCAACACGAUAAACACCCCUGCUUUUCCCUAUCUGUCCACCAAGUGAUGUGAUUCGCUUUGUUUCAACAGGAUCAUCUGGCUUGUGGUCCAUUGUUAAAGGAAUGGCCUUUAACUUCUCUUUGCCCGUGUCUUGUGCAAGAACAACUCUGGAGUCCCCAACAUUUGCCACAAACAUAAGUCGACCCCGCAAUAUAACAACCGAGGCUGUUGUCCCAGCUGUACUUGGUGUGCCAUAUUUUGUCUUUGGCCAUGAAUCUAUUACAAAAUCCAUCAUCAAUAUACUACCACUUACAAGCUACUUUUAUGUGAACAUGAGAAUUAUGUCUGAAAGCACUCAAACAAAUCUGCCUGCCAGCCAGCAAAACGUAAGUGUAUAUUGUGGUUCUUGUUAGGUUAUGCUCUCAUGUGAUGUGUAAUCUUGUAAAGUGUGUGUUAACUUCCUACAUGUUUAAUUAUUGAAAUGAUUGUAAACGUAAUCGAUAUUAUUUGUAACAAGAGCUGAGGAAAUAAACUGACCAAUCAUAGUUUAGCGUCACGUAUGUAAAUAGCUGUAUCAUUAUGUGUAUCAGAUAGUUGUCGUGUGCUAGUCUUUCUUCUACGUGUGGGAAUAAAUGUAAUAAAACCUCCAGA